AGGAGUCAUGUCGUUUCCAAAGUAUGCUUCGUUUUAUUUCUCUGACUCUGAUAUCGUGAAAGUGGACUGCACCGAUAUCAUUUUAGGAGAGCACAGACUAUCGGAGUACGUGGUCGAUUCACGCGAGCAACUUCUAAGCGAAGAGGGAUAUGUAGAGAUGCGCCUGCCAAGUCGCAGCAGACAUGGACAGACCAAGACACUGCCAGCAAAAAUUAUACUUCUUAGUGAGAGACACUCAGGGUGGGGAUGAACGUGGACUGGAGUGGUCUAUGGAACAAACCUUUUUGCUUGCUGGGUAUUAACAUAACAUUUCAUGUCAUCAACAUUUCAAAUCUAAACAUACUUAAGCUUCAGUGGACAGUGACAACGAACAAGAUGGUGAUAAUGGAAGCAAGGAAUUUGAGAACAGUCUUUGCAGAACACACCUCCGCAGAACACCGUCAAGCUUGAUGGUGAUGUUGUCAAAGCUUUAAAAGAUUUAGCAACUCUAAUUUUUGGAAAAGAUAAACUAGCAAGAUGUACUCUUACUGGGAAAUCAGGAAACAUCAAAAGACCAAUUGGACCCUCACAAGGUCACAGUUCUUAUUGACACUGUGAUUAAACAGUUUCCGAACACAGCCAUGUCUGAGGUCCGAGCGCUCAUUCGCAGGAAAUGCAACAACGAGUCAAACUCAAAGAACGGUCGCUCUCCACUGGAAGGAUGAAGACAGUGACGUUUCAGAUGCCAGUUUGUUAAAAUAAAUUCAAUUUAUUGACUCCUGAGGUUCGUUCUCCCCGUGCCUCAGGGGUUUCCUCCGGGUACUCCGGUUUCCUCCCCUGGUCCAAAGACAUGCAUGUUUGGAUCCAGGAUCACUUGUGAAGACUUCCGAUGACACCAACACUCAUGAAGACUUCAGAUAAUGGCAAAUAUAGAUGGACAUACAAAACUACCAAAUAUGAUAUAUGUAAUCACUGCGAAAGUUGGCAGAUUUUCAACCCACUUUGUAUUGUUACAAUAUUGGCAAUAUAUGUGAACAGACAAUGUUUACUCUUUUCAGAGUUACUCACAUUUAUUUGUCAAAAAAACUGGUUAAUGUAUUCUGCAAACAUGUCCUAUAGUAAUGUUAUUUUUAAUUGAACAUGACUUGAAAUACAUGAAGUUUUGUUGCCAGAAGAUGUUUCUCAGUGAGUCAUAGCACCCUCGGCCUGAUUAACUUCUGAUUGAUUGUAACAUUGAAACAUGUAUUUUCUGUAAAGCUUCUUUGAAAUUGUUUACAUUUUAAAAAUGGCUAAACCCUUAAGACAGUUAACCUAGGAUUUCCUGUGGUAAAACCAUCAUGUCAUGUUGCCAUAAAAUCUAACUAAACUAAACUAACUAAAACAAAACUAAGGUUUUGAUAUAAAGGUUCUGCUAUAGUAAUAUUAUAGGAAUGCAGGAGUGCUGUGGUAGCCGAUAGUUUUUGAAAACCACGGGAACAGUUUAUAAUAUGGAUUACUACCAUGCAAAUAAGACCAUGGUUAUUUUUGGAUUUACUGUGGUUUUACUACAAUUAUCAAAGUUAUUAUUGGUUUAUUUUAUUUUUA